rnacentral:rRNA from 1 species
AGCGUAAUAACUUGUCUUCUAAAUAAAGACUAGUAUGAACGGCUAAAUGAGGACAUAACUGUCUCCUGAGGAAAAUCAAUGAACCUGAUCUUUCAGUACAAAAGCUGAAAUAAAACCAUAAGACGAGAAGACCCUGCGGAGCUUUAAAAAACCACUUUUUAAGUUGGGGCGACUACGGAAACAAAAAAAACUUCCACGACCAGGACUAACCCCCCAAAAAAGGAAUCACACACCAACCCUGCUGAUCAACGAACCAAGUUACCCCAGGGAUAACAGCGCCAUCCUCUUCCAGAGCCCAUAUCGCCAAGAGGGUUUACGACCUCGAUGUUGGAUCAGGACCCCCUAGUGGCGCAGCCGCUACUAAAGGUUCGUUUGUUCAACGAUUAAAGUCCUACGUGAUCUGAGUUCAGACCGGA